GCUUGUUGAUCGUCAUUGUACUGGUGACCCUGUUCAUCUGGUUUGUGUUUAAAAGGCACAUGCAGACAAAAGCAGCAGCAUCAGCCAUGACAGCGUGGUCACAUGCUAAGAGUGAAGUGAACGUGACAUAUAGUUCUGUGGUUACCAUGAAGCAACAAAGUGUACAAACGGUAAAUACUAAGAAAACCCAGUCUGAUACCAUCAUAUCCUGCUGUUCCCUUUUUGUUUUUGGUCUCACUAGAUUGUCAUAAUUUGUAUUUUGUUCUUUCUUGUAAUUAAAAAAUUUUUCCCCAACAGUUUGAAGCAAAUGACGAGAAUGUUACAUACAGCACAUUGGCUUAGCACCGGCACAUCUUAGCACAUGUUACUCCUGUUUGUCUCCAUCUUGUAAUCUAUCUGGAGAACUGGUGUCACAAUGCAACACAUUGUGACACCAGUUCUCCAAUAACAACGUUCAGGUGUUAUCAUUUAGUUGUGCAGUAACUUCUAACUUUUGUAUUUUGAGAUUUACACCUUCACCUUACAUUAGCCUCUUCAGCUAACAUUUCAAAGAAGCACUUCCAUGUUUGUUUGCCAAUACUGACAUGUUAACGAUUGUAUUGUUGGCCUAAAGUUCACAUUAGUUAGUAAUGUUGAGGCCUUGCAAGGUCUCCAUGUAUGCAAGUAUCUUAAAUUCAACUCAGUAGCUUGUUUAAUCUUCUAGCCAUGUUUAAGAUUUCAAUGU